CUAAAAGAUAAAAUGUGAUGCUGAUAAGAACGGGCAAGUCACAAAACUUACAAAGGGUGUACAAGAGAUCCAAAAUGCAUAAUGCACCUCUUGUGUCUCCUUUGAUUUCUACAAGAGUUGCUUUAGGGACACUUAGUGUCGCACCUGCAUUUAUUAUAUGCAGAAUGCAUAACCCUAAUCUCCCCUAAUCAUCACUGUAGCUUGAUGAUUAUGCAUAUUAGAAGUGUCAUCUUUCAAACUUUAUGUCGACUAUA
rnacentral:lncRNA from 1 species